AAAUCGGAUCUCUAAAUCGGUCGUAACUGUAUGUAGUUAAACUAUGGCGACGAGCGUGCAGACGAGGAAGAGGAGCAGGACCAGCAAGACCCGACAUAAGAUGCAUGGGACGAGGAUGAGGUCGAAGACAACACUCACGGUCGCAGGAGGUCGAGAGAGAGAGAGA